AUGGCUUCCAAAUUUCUGAUUCCUGAUUUGUCUAAGUUCACUAGUAGAAAAACUUAAAUGGGCACCGCAAAAUGCGCACCGGUUUUUAAAAAUUGGUGCAAAAAAAAAACAGGCAGGAUUGAGGGAAAGAGUUUUCGCACCGGUUCUAACCAAACCAGUGCAAAAAAUGAGUUAAUCGCACCGGUUCGAAUGCUUUUGUAAAAAAAAAAAUCGGGGCUUUAUUUCUUUCUUUCUAUUUCUGUCUUCUUUCUUUCUCUUUCCUCCAUCUCUUUCCCUUUCCUUUUCUCUAUCCUUCGUUCUCUACCACCGACCACCUCCUUUCGUUAUUCCGUCGCCGUGCUCUGGUGUUUUCCGUCGUCGUGCUUUGGCCCGGUCUGUUCCGGUGGGUUGUUCGUUUUGACGAAAUUCCGGUGCAUUUCAGGUAAAUUCUCUCCCUCAUCUGUAAAUUAAAGCUAGCUCAUUCUCCAUUCGAAUUCUUCAUUCUAAUUCUCCAUUCGGAUUCUUCAUUCGGGUCUGCUUCUCCUUUUGCGGUUCUGGGUUUUAUGUGUUUUGAUUUGUGUUUAGAUCUACUAUGGUUUCCCCAAAUUCCAAUUUCACAAUUUCAAGGUUCAAAAAUUAGAAAGAACAAACCAUAAAAUUCCCCUCAAAAUCAGAAACCUUGUUUGCUGAAAAUUCAAAACCCUUCGAACGAUCCUUAAUUGCAAGAUUCAGCCAACGCUUGCAAGAUCAGUUAUUCAACAACAUUUCAAGAAAAUAAUGAAGAAAUUGGAGACACAAGGGAUAUUGAUAACAUCACAUAAGGAUAUUAUCAUGAGAAAUUGAAGGAAUUAUUGAUCAAGAUCUUGAACUUGAAGUUGCAUGUUCGCAUAGUGAACCACUGAACGGUGAGGAACUCAUGAAUGUAGUGGAGGAAGAGGAACUUAACAUGUCAGCACUCAGCAGAUGCGACUGUUGUUGAAAAGCCGGCUGAGGUUAAGAAGAAGCCAGCCGAGAGGUUUGAUUUUGUGUUUGAACCAAACCAAAAAAGAGAGCAGAAGCAGCAGCUAAGACCUGGGGCACAGACAGAGCAGACAAAGCAGCCAACAGCAUAAGCAGAACAACAACCAAAAAACGAACAACAGCACCAACAGAAGCUUGCAAUAGCAGGAACCAACAGCGGCCUGUACACCAUAGAAACACCCUAACCAGCAUCCAGUAGCAGACACCCAACAGCUAUGCUUAUCAAAGUGCAGCUUAUCGUUUCUUUGUUAAUGGUACUAACAACUCUUAUGUAGGUGGCCAUAUCAUUGAGGCAGGAGAUGCAGAAUUCUUUGGGAACAUUUUUCCUUGGAAAAUGGCUUCCCCUAAUGAUAGUGAAUUACCUGCUAGUAGUUCUAUUAAUUUACCUAUUGCUAAUGCUCCUAUUACUAACGAUGAUUCUGUUUUGGAGCCAAGGAGAAGCAAAAGGGCACAAAAGGACAACAAUUUUGGUCUUGAUUUUAUUACUUCCUUUUUAUCGGAAUCUUCCUUAAUUGAUGAUGAUCUUGUGCAUAUCUUUGUUUUGGAAGAUGAUCCAAAAACCUAUGAUGAGGCAAUAUCAAUUCUCAAUAAUAACACUUGGGAAUUGGUUGAAUUUCCUAGAGGUUGUAAGCCCAUUACUUGUUAAUGGAUCUUUAGGAAAAAAUUGAAAGUCGAUGGAUCCAUAGACAAGUAUAAGGAAAGGAUAGUGGUAAGGGGUUUUACUCAAAAGUUUGGCAUUGAUUAUUUUGAUACUUACUCCCCUGUCACUAAAAUUGCAACCUUAGGAAUUUAAUUGCUCUUGCUUGCAUUUUUUAUCUUGUUGUUCACCAAAUGGAUGUCAAAACUGCAUUUUUGAAUGGUGACUUUGAUGAGGAGAUUUACAUGGUCCAACCUGAAGGAUUCGUUGUUCUGGGCGAAGAGAACAAGGUUUGCAAGUUAGUAAAGUCAUUAUAUGGGUUUAAGCAAGCUCCAAAGCAAUGGCAUGACAAAUUCGAUAAGACUAUGAAUGGUAAUGGUUUUCAUGUUAAUGAAGGUGAUUCUUGUGUUUAUUUUAAGCAUGAUGGUCUUGGUUGUGUGAUUAUUUGUCUUUAUGUGGAUGACAUGUUAAUUUUUGGGACUGACUUGGAUCAAGUAAAUGAGACAAAACAGUUUUUGAGUUCGAAUUUUGAAAUGAAACACAUGGGUGAGGCAGAUGUGAUUUUGGGAGUAAAAAUCAAAAGGACCCCAAAUGGCAUAUGUCUUAAUCAAUUACACUAUGUUGAAAAACUUCAAUAAAAGUUUGACUCAUUUAAUGUCAAUCUAGUUAAGACUCCUUAUGACCCGAGUUUCCACCUAAAGAAAAAUAAUGGUGAUCCAGUUGAUCAGUCUGAAUAUGCUAGAAUUAUUGGUAGUGUUAUGUUUCUUAUGAACUACACUAGACCUGACAUUGCUUAUUCUGUUAGUAGGUUGAGCAAGUACACUCAUAACCCUAAGUGUGAUUGGAUUGCUCUAAGGAGGUUGCUUAGGUACCUUAAGGGAACCAUGGAUUGGGGUUUGCACUACUCCAAAUUUCCUGGAGUUUUGGAGGGUUUUUGUGAUGCCAACUGGGUAUCCAACAAUGAUGAAGUUAACUCCACCAGUGGCUAUGUCCUCACCCGGGGGUGGAGCCGUAUCCUGGAAAUCUUGUAAGCAAUCUUGUACUACUAUGUCUACUAUGGAAUCUGAGUUUAUUGCUCUUGAAUUGGCAGGUCAUGAGGCAGAAUGGUUGAGGAACAUGCUUGUUGAUAUUCCACUGUGGGGAAAGCCAGCUCCUUCAUUUGCACUUCAUUGUGAUUCGCAAGCUGCGAUUGCUAUUGCACACAACCAUGCCUAUAAUGGGAAGAAGAGACACAUUCGUCUGAGGCAUAAGGCCGUCAGAAAUUUGUUGUCUGAAGGAGUGAUAUCAUUGGACUAUGUUAAGUCCGAAAAGAACAUUGCGGAUCCGUUGACUAAAGGCCUAUGUAGAAAAACUAGUUUUGAAAACAUCGGAAGAGAUGAGGCUAAACACUAGGCGAAAAAUACAAAUGGGCACCGGUUCAAAACCCCCAUUUCGCACCGAUUUUGAACCGGUCCUUAUUUGGGGGAUGCCAAAAACCAAAAGAUUUCGCACCGGUGCGAAAACUUAGAUUUUGCACCGGUUCUUGUUGUGAGCCUGUGCGAAAAAUGUCCCAAAAAAUAAAAAUAAAAACCUUUUAGCACCGGUUCUUGAUGUGAACCGGUGCGAAAAAUGGC